rnacentral:rRNA from 1 species
UGGGGAAUUUUGGACAAUGGGCGAAAGCCUGAUCCAGCAAUGCCGCGUGUGUGAAGAAGGCCUUCGGGUUGUAAAGCACUUUUGUCCGGAAAGAAAACGCCGUGGUUAAUACCCGUGGCGGAUGACGGUACCGGAAGAAUAAGCACCGGCUAACUACGUGCCAGCAGCCGCGAUAAUACGUAGGGUGCAAGCGUUAAUCGGAAUUACUGGGCGUAAAGCGUGCGCAGGCGGUCCGCUAAGACAGAUGUGAAAUCCCCGGGCUUAACCUGGGAACUGCAUUUGUGACUGGCGGGCUAGAGUAUGGCAGAGGGGGGUAGAAUUCCACGUGUAGCAGUGAAAUGCGUAGAGAUGUGGAGGAAUACCGAUGGCGAAGGCAGCCCCCUGGGCCAAUACUGACGCUCAUGCACGAAAGCGUGGGGAGCAAACAGG